rnacentral:ribozyme from 1 species
UUCCUCUUCCUCCUCCUCCUCCACCCCCUCCACCCCCUCCACUCGACCUCCCCUUCGAGUUGUCCCCAACCUUGGUUAUGCAUGCAUCAACGUCAUGCUCAGUCGCCAG